AAAAAAGUUACUAAGAGCACAUGGUGAAUGCCUUGGCUCUCAAUGUCGAUGAAGGACGUGAUUACCUGCGAUAAGCUUCGGGUAGGUGGAAAUAACCUUUGAUCCGGAGAUCUCCGAAUAGGGAAACCUUUAGUAUUGAAGAUACUAAAUCAUAAUGAAGAUAACCCAGAGAACUGAAACAUCUAAGUACCUGGAGGAAAAGAAAACAACAGUGAUUCCCCAAGUAGUGGCGAGCGAACGGGGAACAGCCCAAACCAAUAAUGUUAAGGCAUUCUUGGGGUUGUAGGACUGCAACGUGGACUUUUAAUUGAAAAUGGAAGCUGUCUGGAAAGCAGCAUCAUAGAAGGUGAUAAUCCUGUACAUGAAUUCAAUUAGAUACCUAGCAGUAUCCUGAGUACCGCGGGGUCGGAGACGCCCUGCGGGAAUCCACCGGCACCAUCCGGUAAGGCUAAAUACAAUUGAGAGACCGAUAGCGAACAAGUACUGUGAAGGAAAGGUUAAAAGAACCGCGAACAGCGGAGUGAAAUAGAACCUGAAACCAUGUGCUUACAAGCGGUUGGAGUCCCGAUUUAUCGGGAUGACAGCGUGCCUUUUGCAUAAUGAGCCUACGAGUUACUCCUCUCUGGCAAGGUUAACCCCGUAAACGGGGGAAGCCGAAGCGAAAGCAAGUCUGAAUAGGGCGAAUAGUCAGAGGGGGUAGACGCGAAACCUUGUGAUCUACCCUUGGUCAGGAUGAAGUCUCGGUAACACGAGAUGGAGGUCCGAACUGGUAAACGUUGAAAAGUUUUCGGAUGAACUGAGGGUAGGGGUGAAAGGCUAAUCAAACUGGGAAAUAGCUCGUACUCCCCGAAAUGUUUUUAGGAACAGCCUCGAUUCAAUUGUCAUAGAGGUAGAGCUACUAAUUGGGCUAGGGGGCUUCACCGCCUACCAAACCCAGAUAAACUCCGAAUGCUAUUGACAUAUAAUCGGGAGUGAGGCUCCGGGUGCUAAGGUCCGGGGCCGAGAGGGAAACAACCCAGACCAUCAGCUAAGGUCCCUAAAUAUAUACUAAGUUGAUAAAACGUGGUCUGAUUGCUUUGACAGCUAGGAUGUUUGCUUGGAAGCAGCAAUUCAUUUAAAGAGUGCGUAACAGCUCACUAGUCGAGCGAUCGGGCGUGGAUAAUAAACGGGCAUUAAGUAUAUUACCGAAGCUAUGGGUCCAUAUGGACGGUAGGGGAGCAUUCCAACAACACAGAAGAUUUGGCGUAAGCUGGAUUGGAGUUCUUGGAAAAGCAAAUGUAGGCAUAAGUAACGAUAAUGCAGGUGAAAAACCUGCACACCGUAAGACUAAGGUUUCCUGAUCAAUGCUAAUCAGAUCAGGGUUAGUCGGGUCCUAAGGAUAAUCCGAAUGGAAAAGCCGAUGGAUAACUGGUUAAUAUUCCAGUACUGGCAAAUGUAGUGAUGGAACUACGAAGAAGUGAAAGAUCUGCGUACUGACGGAUAUGUACGUUAAAGCUCGUAGAUAUAGAUUGUAUAGGCAAAUCCAUACAAUCUGUCGAAAGUGAUAGUACCACAAGUCUUCGGACAAGUGGAUAAUGAUCCUAAUCAUGCUUCCGAGAAAAAUUCCUAAACUUAUACAUUUGCUACCCGUACCGUAAUCCGACACAGGUAGUCGAGGAGAGAAUCCUAAGGUGCUCGAGUGAAUCAUGGCUAAGGAACUCGGCAAAUUAACCCUGUAACUUCGGGAAAAAGGGUGCCCUGCGCAAGCAGGGCCGCAGUGAAAUGGCCCAGGCGACUGUUUAACAAAAACACAUGGCUUUGCUAAAUCGGAAGAUUACGUAUAAGGCCUGACACCUGCCCGGUGCUGGAAGGUUAAGAGGAGAUGUCAGAAGCAAUUCAAAGCAUUGAAUCGAAGCCCCAGUAAACGGCGGCCGUAACUAUAACGGUCCUAAGGUAGCGAAAUUCCUUGUC
rnacentral:rRNA from 1 species